GCCGGGGUGGCGGAACUGGUAGACGCGCCGGAUUCAAAAUCCGGUUCUGGAAACAGAGUGAGAGUUCGAUUCUCUCUCCCGGCACCA
rnacentral:tRNA from 1 species